rnacentral:tRNA from 1 species
AGGGAAGAGGUGCAAUAGGAAGCAUGAGCGCUUUGGAAGCGCGGGGCUGUGGGUUCGAAUCCCGCCUUCCCUACCA